UACAGAGGGGGCAAGCGUUGUUCGGAAUUACUGGGCGUAAAGGGCGCGUAGGCGGCCUUCUAAGUCGAACGUGAAAUCCCCGGGCUCAACCCGGGAACUGCGUCCGAUACUGGAAGGCUUGAAUCCGGGAGAGGGAUGUGGAAUUCCAGGUGUAGCGGUGAAAUGCGUAGAUAUCUGGAAGGAACACCGGUGGCGAAGGCGGCCAUCUGGACGACAACUGACGCUGAGAUGCGAAAGCGUGGGAGCAACAGGG
rnacentral:rRNA from 1 species